rnacentral:rRNA from 1 species
GAUGAACGCUGGCGGCGUGCCUAAUACAUGCAAGUCGAGCGAACAGACGAGGAGCUUGCUCCUCUGACGUUAGCGGCGGACGGGUGAGUAACACGUGGAUAACCUACCUAUAAGACUGGGAUAACUUCGGGAAACCGGAGCUAAUACCGGAUAAUAUAUUGAACCGCAUGGUUCAAUAGUGAAAGACAGUUUUGCUGUCACUUAUAGAUGGAUCCGCGCCGCAUUAGCUAGUUGGUAAGGUAACGGCUUACCAAGGCAACGAUGCGUAGCCGACCUGAGAGGGUGAUCGGCCACACUGGAACUGAGACACGGUCCAGACUCCUACGGGAGGCAGCAGUAGGGAAUCUUCCGCAAUGGGCGAAAGCCUGACGGAGCAACGCCGCGUGAGUGAUGAAGGUCUUCGGAUCGUAAAACUCUGUUAUUAGGGAAGAACAAAUGUGUAAGUAACUAUGCACGUCUUGACGGUACCUAAUCAGAAAGCCACGGCUAACUAUGUG